rnacentral:rRNA from 1 species
ACACAUGCAGUCGAACGAAGUAGCAAUACUUAGUGGCAGACGGGUGAGUAACAUGUGGGUAUCUACCCUUUGGCCUGGAAUAACACGAGGAAACUUGUGCUAAUACCGGAUAAGUCUUUACGGAGAAAGCUUUAUGCACCAUUGGAUGAGCCCGCACUUGAUUAGUUUGUUGGUAGGGUAAUGGCCUACCAAGACUAUGAUCAAUAGCUGAUUUGAGAGGAUGAUCAGCCACAUUGGGACUGAGACACGGCCCAAACUCCUACGGGAGGCAGCAGUGGGGAAUCUUGCACAAUGGAGGAAACUCUGAUGCAGCGAUGCCGCGUGAGUGAAGAAGGCCUUUGGGUUGUAAAGCUCUUUCGUCGGGGAAGAAAAUGACUGUACCCGAAUAAGAAGGUCCGGCUAACUUCGUGCCAGCAGCCGCGGUAAUACGAAGGGACCUAGCGUAGUUCGGAAUUACUGGGCUUAAAGAGUUCGUAGGUGGUUGAAAAAGUUGGUGGUGAAAUCCCAGAGCUUAGCUCUGGAACUGCCAUCAAAACUUUUCAGCUAGAGUAUGAUAGAGGAAAGCAGAAUUUCUAGUGUAGAGGUGAAAUUCGUAGAUAUUAGAAAGAAUACCAAUUGCGAAGGCAGCUUUCUGGAUCAUUACUGACACUG